rnacentral:rRNA from 1 species
UACAGAGGUGGCAAGCGUUGUUCGGAAUUACUGGGCGUAAAGGGCGCGUAGGCGGAAUGAUAAGUCAGUGGUGAAAUCCUGCAGCUUAACUGCAGAACUGCCAUUGAUACUGUCAAUCUUGAGUAUAUUUGAUGUGGGCGGAAUGUGUCAUGUAGCGGUGAAAUGCUUAGAUAUGACACAGAACACCGAUUGCGAAGGCAGCUCACAAAACUAUAACUGACGCUGAGGCACGAAAGCGUGGGUAUCAAACAGG